GACGAACGCUAGCGGCGUGCCUAAGAAAUGCAAGUCGAGCGAGGUUAUGGGGCUUGCCCUAAUAACCUAGCGGCGAACGGUCGCGUAACACGUAAGCAACCUGCCCUAGAGUUGGGGAUAGUCCUCCGAAAGGGGGCUUAAUACCGAAUGUGGACACAGGAUCACAUGUUUUUGUGUCUAAAGCAGCGAUGCGCUCUAGGAUGGGCUUGCGGCCUAUCAGCUAGUUGGUGUGGGUAACGGCCCACCAAGGCGACGACGGGUAGCUGGUCUGAGAGGAUGGUCAGCCGGACUGGGACUGAGAUACGGCCCAGACUCCUACGGGGGGCAGCAAUUAGGAAUCUUGCGCAAUGGGCGAAAGCCUGACGCAGCGACGCCGCGUGACUGAUGAAGUCUUUCGGGAUGUAAAAGUCUUUUUUGGGGGUAAGAAGGAUGUGACGGUACCCCAAGAAUAAGCCCCGGCUAACUACGUG
rnacentral:rRNA from 1 species